rnacentral:rRNA from 1 species
UACGUAGGGUGCAAGCGUUGUCCGGAAUUAUUGGGCGUAAAGAGCUCGUAGGCGGUCUGUUGCGUCGGCUGUGAAAACCCGGGGCUCAACUCCGGGCCUGCAGCCGAUACGGGCAGACUAGAGUUCGGCAGGGGAGACUGGAAUUCCUGGUGUAGCGGUGAAAUGCGCAGAUAUCAGGAAGAAUAUCCGUGGCGAAGGCGGCUCUCUGGUACGGCACUGACGCUGAGACGCGAAAGCGUGGGGAGCGAACAGG